AUUGAACGCUAGCGGGAUGCCUUACACAUGCAAGUCGAACGAGUGGCGAACGGGUGAGUAAUGUAUCGGACCGUGCCCAGUCGCGGGGGAUAACUACGCGAAACGUAGCUAAUACCGCAUACUAUUGGAGCGGGCGAUAUGGGAUUAGCUGUAUGGUGGGGUAACGGCUCACCAGGGCGACGAUCCGUAGCUGGUUUGAGAGGAUGACCAGCCACACUGGGACUGCGACACGGCCCAGACUCCUACGGGAGGCAGCAGUGGGGAAUAUUGGACAAGGGGGGAAACCCUGAUCCAGCCAUCCCGCGUGUGCGAUGAAGGCCUUCGGGUUGUAAAGUACUUUUAGCAGGAAGGCGGUACCUGCAGAAUAAGCACCGGCUAACUACGUGCCAGCCGCCGCGGUAAUAC
rnacentral:rRNA from 1 species